rnacentral:lncRNA from 1 species
ACCACCAAAUAAUUAUGUGGAGGAUAGUAAUGAGUAGGUGGUGGCGGUGAAGUGUAAUAGUACGGUGGGGGAGAGGACUUCAUUGGUGGUGGUGGGGGGUGUAGUAGUAUGGAGUUGGAGGUGACUUUACUGGUGGUGAUGGAAAAGAGUAGUGAUAUGGUGGCGGUGGUAAUUUCUUUGGUGGUGGUGGAGAAGAGUAGUGAUAU